CACCGGGACCGGGGGCGGCUCCGGGAACGCUCUCGGGGGGCCGGAGCGGAACCGGGGCGGGACCGGGGCGGGACCGGGGCGGCUCCGGGAGCCUCCGGUAAGCACCGGGAAGGCGCCGGAGGAGCCGCCCGCCAUGGAGCCCAACAGCCCCCGCAAGAUCCAGUUCACGGUGCCGCUCCUGGAGCCGCACCUCGACCCCGAGGCGGCGGAGCAGAUCCGCAGGCGCCGACCGACGCCGGCCAACCUGGUGCUGAGCAG